rnacentral:rRNA from 1 species
AUGGAGGUAGAAGUGAGGCUGGGCCCUUCAACACACCCGAAAAUCCCUGAGCUCACCGGCAUGAAAAAAAAACCCAUAGCAAGCCUCGGUGAUAGAAGCAAGCCACCGGCUCAAGGCAAGGGACAACGAGGGCGAACCGAGACGGAUUACGCCGCAACAUUGAAGGCGACUCGCAGGCGCAGACGACUCAGCAAGGGCAGGGGUACUCGGGAAGAGUCCCAACGCGGACGGGUGCGGAAGAGGCUGGCGAGGUCCGAUGGCAACCUGGACAGGAGGCAACUUCACCAGGAGGUAGGGCGACAGCGGCGACUUCAGGUCGGUUGGCGCGGUGGCUUGCAGUAG